rnacentral:rRNA from 1 species
GACGAACGCUGGCGGCGUGCUUAACACAUGCAAGUCGAACGGAAAGGCCCUGCCUUUGUGGGGUGCUCGAGUGGCGAACGGGUGAGUAACACGUGAGUAACCUGACCUUGACUUUGGGAUAACUUCAGGAAACUGGGGCUAAUACCGGAUAGGAGCUCCUGCUGCUUGGUGGGGGUUGGAAAGUUGCGGCGGUUGGGGAUGGACUCGCGGCUUAUCAGCCUGUUGGUGGGGUAGUGGCUUACCAAGGCUUUGACGGGUAGCCGGCCUGAGAGGGUGACCGGCCACAUUGGGACUGAGAUACGGGCCAGACGCCUACGGGAGGCAGCAGUGGGGAAUAGUGCGCAAUGGGCGGAAGGCGGGUGCAGCAACGCCGCGUGCGGGAUGACGGCCUUCGGGUUGUAAACCGCUUUCGCCUGGGACGAAGCGGGAGUGACGGUAAUUGGUAAAGAAGCACCGGCUAACUACGUG